AUGAACGCUGGCGGCGUGCCUAAUACAUGCAAGUCGAGCGAACAGACGAGGAGCUUGCUCCUCUGACGUUAGCGGCGGACGGGUGAGUAACACGUGGAUAACCUACCUAUAAGACUGGGAUAACUUCGGGAAACCGGAGCUAAUACCGGAUAAUAUAUUGAACCGCAUGGUUCAAUAGUGAAAGACGGUUUUGCUGUCACUUAUAGAUGGAUCCGCGCCGCAUUAGCUAGUUGGUAAGGUAACGGCUUACCAAGGCAACGAUGCGUAGCCGACCUGAGAGGGUGAUCGGCCACACUGGAACUGAGACACGGUCCAGACUCCUACGGGAGGCAGCAGUAGGGAAUCUUCCGCAAUGGGCGAAAGCCUGACGGAGCAACGCCGCGUGAGUGAUGAAGGUCUUCGGAUCGUAAAACUCUGUUAUUAGAGAAGAACAAAUGUGUAAGUAACUAUGCACGUCUGGACGGUACCUAAUCAGAAAGCCACGGCUAACUACGU
rnacentral:rRNA from 1 species